UUAGGUUUAUCCUGUAAGGCAGUGCAUCAGAAAGUGCUCAUCGUCACGCGCUCACAAUAUUUAGCAAGCUAUUCUUGGGGUUCUCAAACCCCAAGGCCAGUUACAGGUCAUGGAUACACUUUCCCAAGUCAAACAGGCUAGAGUUGGUGGAAGUGAAAAACACCUACUAUCUCUGGCCCAACACAAGGUUUAUUUCUUGCUCGUGUGCAAUCCGGUAUGAAUCUGGCUAACGACCGUUAGCUCAACAUCAGGGACUUGGGAAUGCACGCUGCUUUGACUUCAUGGCUCCACCUUUUCAGCAAGGAAUCUUUUCUAUGCUUCACCCUGAAAGGACACAAGGACACGUUACCAGAACGUCCUAUUAGCCAGAAGCCCGGCAGACAGCCCCACCUAGUGGCCGGGAAACGUAGGGGCGAAAGAACUUUAGGGUGGGAUGGGGUGGCGCGGGGUGGGUUUCUUCCCGCCACACAAUGCUUCAGCGGAUGGAAAGGCACACCGUGUUAAGGAAGUCUCUCAGGAUUUGGUUGAGCCAGAAACUGCCUUAAUCACAUUAGAGUUCGCUUCACUGAGGUAACAAUGGCUUCAGGGUGGUGACUGGAAUAUGUGAGAGUCCACGUGCUGAGUCCCCGGGUCUGUCCUUUUUUUAAAAUUUCAUUUCAUUUUAUUUUAUUAUUACACGUUUGUAAUUCAUGCAAUUUACAGUCAUCUUGGGGAGUGGUCACACCUUCUUUCUGUCUUCCUUCCCCCCACUCCCCGGCCUCCUUCUCCGCAUCUCCAGUCACUUUGCUUCGUACCUGCUGAUCUGCUGGUGCUAUUUGUCUUACGGGUUAUACUGCCUCCAUUCAUCAAGGUUAUUAGGCUCCUGCACAUGGCACACCUUUAUUCCUUUCAUUUCCCCUCUGCCUCCCGUCACCCCUGCCUGGUGUGUCUUCAACGGUCCCAUAAUAAAGCCUGGAGCUGCAGCCAAGUCACACAUGUUCCCGGACACAGGGAGGAACAAAUUCCAGGCAGAGAGGAAUUUCUACCAAACUGCUUCAGCUUCACGAUGAAGGGAAGGUUCUGAUGCUGGGCUUUCUUUACCAAUCCACAGGACAGUAAACUGAGGAGAAGAGGAUGGGGAAAGAAUAGCCAGUUUUCUCAAUGACCUCUCUGCCACUUUCUUCUUCAGCCUCUCCUUUAAUAUUUUUUUCAUUUUCAGCCAAUAAAUAUUUAUCACUAUAUGACAUAUAGAAAAUGUUGCAUUAGCAAAUGGAGAAGACAUGAUAGUAAAUGAGACCCAGCCGCUUCAACAGAGUUUCUGAUAUUCCCCAAAAGGGUGUGGUGACAAGCGUCACCUGACAGAC
rnacentral:lncRNA from 1 species